AUGGCCGAGGCCGCAACAGCAGAAGCCACGCCUCUCAUCCAUGGCCUCCCAGACGAGGUCGUCAUCUGGGAGAUCCUCGUCCGCCUCGAUCCUAAAUCGCUCCUCCGCUGCCGCGCCGUCCGCCGGGCCAGGCGCCGCGCCACCUCCACCCGCGGCCUCCUCCUCGCGCACCACGUGCGCCAGCCCUCCCUCCCCAUCCUCUACGGUUACAGCUGCGUCGGGAACGACGUCAUGUCCAUAUCCAUCAUCCCCUUCAACCACCAGCUCCAGCCCGUCGCGCGGCUGGGCCACGCCCUAGUCCGUCCGGAGGCCUCCUGCGACGGCCUCCUCGUUCUCUCCAUCCUCGGCACCUACUUCGCCAUCUGCAACCCCGCAACUCGUCAGUAUGCUCCCCUCCGUAUGGUUUCUGAGUUCAGCAUAUUGGGAAUGUACCCUCACCGGCCUACCGGCGAGUACAGACUGCUCAUGCACUCUUCGAAAUCCGUGAAGCAGGCCUCUGUUCUUUAUGGUCCCUGCACCAGACCGUCACCUGAAAAUCAAGUUGGCUGCUACGUCCUAUCACUCGGCUCUGGUCAGCGGCCGAGGUACAUUGAGUGUGCGGAAGCCAAGGAACUGAAAUUGAGCAACAAUUCUGUGCUAUUCCGUGGUUGCUUACAUUGGUACCCAGUGCGACAUGGAAGCGGCAGCAUCAUGAUAAUAGUGUUCGACACAACAGCCGAGUCGUUCCGGCUGAUGCGCGCUCCGGUUUUCCCUGGCGGCUGCGAUGACCUGUUUGAGAUGGAUGGCAUGCUCGGCAUGUCCAGCUCUAAUAAGGCAAAGACAAUCAUUCGUAUCUGGGUGCUGCGAGACUAUGAAAGCGAGGACUGGAUCUUAAAGUGCAAGACUGAAUUGCCGGUUAUGGAGAUCAGGGUGCCAUGGGACAGUCAGGACCAUGACAAUUUUUGGGACGUGGUGGUCGUGCCUGGGGAUGGUGGGUUGCUUGUGCUGGUCAAAUAUGCCAAGUCCCUACUUCUGGUUGACAUGGAUGACAAGUUGGUAGCCACUUUCCGUCGCAAAGGCAUCUGUCCUACUCAGUUGCAGCUCAAGCAAAGUCUUGUUCCGCAUGCCUUCUUUCCAUCACUAGAGGGCUAUGUUGUGAACGACUGGCCUUUCAUCUGA
rnacentral:rRNA from 1 species